rnacentral:lncRNA from 10 species
CUUUGCUGCCCAGGCUGGAGUACAGUGGCACAAUCUCAGCUCACUGCAACCUCUGCCUCCUGGGUUUAAGUGAUUUCCCUGCCUCAUCCUCUCAAGUAGCUGUGAUUACAGGCGUGUGCUACCAUACCUGGCUGAUUUUUGUAGUUUUAGUAGAGACGGGGUUUCACCAUGUUGGCCAGGCUGGUUUUGAACUCCUGACCUCAAAUGAUCCACCCGCCUUGGCCCUCCCAAAGUGCUGGGAUUAGAGGUGUGAGCCACCACACCUGGCAUUUAAUAACAACCCUUUAUAACCAAGAGUUGGUUUAGAUUCCCAAACUAGGUAACUACCCUUUAAUCAUAGGGUUUUAAAAAUAAAAAAAUAAAAAGUACGUAGCUAAUUACAAAAAAUACACAACAUUCUCAAUCAUAAUUAAUUUUAUAUGAUUGAGUAUGUAUAAUAUCUGCAGACAUUUGAAAUGAAUCUCAUAUGUAUUACAAAGGUUGGUCAUUUAAAAAAAUAUAUCUGACGUGCAGAUGCAGUGGCUCAUGCCAGCAGUUUGGGAGGUUGAGGCAGAAGGAUCACUUGAGUUCAGGACUUUAAGACCAGCCUGGGCAACACAGGGAGAUCCUGUCUCUACAAAAAAUGUAAAAAUUAGCUGAGUAUGGCGAUGUACACAUUCUUUAAGUGAAUCCUACAGACUCACCUUAAUAACAUUUAAAAUGAGUGCCAACCUCUGACUCUCUGAUUCUCUACUAUCUCACUUUGUUGCCUGGAAUGAAUAUGAAGCAGCCUGUACCAAUUUAGGAAUCUACUUAUGUAGAUUAUAGAAAAUGACCCACUAUAUAAACUUUCAUAUAACAGGCACAGUAAUUUAAACAAAACAAAACAAAAGCCCUUAACCAGAUCAUGUUAUUUCCCUGUUAAAACCUCUCAUGGCUUACAUUGCUCUUAGAAUAAAAUUCAAAAUCCUUAUGUGUCCUAUAUAGCCCUGAUAUAGUUUGGAUGUGUCCCCACCCAAAUCUCAUAUUGAAAUAUAAUCCCCGGUGUUGGAGGAGGGGCCUUGUGGGAGGUGAUUGGAUCAUGAGGGUGGAUUUCUCAUGAAUAGUUUAUCACCAUCCCCCAUGGUACUGUCCUCUUAUUAGUGAGUGAGUUCUCAUGUAAUCUGGUAAUUUAAAAGUGUGCAGCACCUCCCCCUCUGCUCUCUUGCUCCUGCUCUGGUCCUGUGCCUGCUGCCCCUUUCCCUUUGUCAUGAUUCUAAGUUCCCUGAGGUCUCCCCAGAAGCCAAGUCAAUGCCAGCAUCAUGCUUCCUGUACAGCCUGCAGAAACAUGAGCCAAUUAAACCUCUUUUCUUUAUAAAUUACCCCAUCUCAGGUAUUUCUUUAUAGAAAUGCAAGAAUGAACUAAUACAAGCCUUAAGUAUACCAAUGUCGCACACUACCGUUGGCCCCUUACUCACUUCUACAAAUAUUUUGGGCCUAGUUUUAUUUAAUUGAAUUUGCCAGACUCAUUUUCAUCUCUGUACUUGGAGUUUCUCUUGCUCAUCACCCACUCUUUCCCCAGGCCUUUGAAUGGCUAGUUGAUUCUCUUUACUCAGGUCUUGGCUUACAUAGUAUAGCACUUACUCAGAGGCCUUUUCCUGAACACCUGGGAAACCACAGACAAAGCAAACGUAAAUUUAAAUGGUCUCCCAAUUCUCUCUCAUAAUCUUGUUGUCUUUCUUGUUUGUUUGUUAAGAGUAGUUAUCUUACCUGAGCACCACUUACACAUUGUAUGGGAUUAAUCCAUAUUCUCCAACCCUUUGCAAAGCAUAAUGGUUCUUCUAUGCACCCACCAAACUUGAUGAUUGUCAUGAAUGAGUUACUCUUCAUUAUGCCCAUGUUAUAUUUAUCAUGUAAAUCAUGUUUGUUCCCAAACAAAUCUAUGCUGGUUUUAUCUAUUAUUAUAAUAUAUGAAUAUGCAUAUAGGCACAAACAUAGGUAUAGAUAAUGUGUGUAUGUAUGAAAUAUGAUUGUAAAAAUAAAAAGUUAUUUCUC